GGCUUUAUAGUGGAAAUUAAGACGUUAGAUUGCAAAUCUAAAGAUGUGAAUAUAAUCGCUAAAGCUU
rnacentral:tRNA from 1 species